rnacentral:rRNA from 1 species
CCUACGGGUGACAGCAGUGGGGAAUAUUGCGCAAUGGGCGAAAGCCUGACGCAGCGACGCCGCGUGAGGGAUGAAGGCCUUCGGAUCGUAAACCUCUGUCAGCAGGGAAGAACGGUCACUGUGCUAAUCAGUAGUGAAUUGACGGUACCUGCAAAGGAAGCACCGGCUAACUCCGUGCCAGCAGCCGCGGUAAUACGGAGGGUGCGAGCGUUAAUCGGAAUUACUGGGCGUAAAGCGCUCGUAGGCGGUAUGUCAAGUCAAGGGUGAAAGCCCCGCGCUCAACGUGGGAACUGCCUUUGAAACUGGCAAACUGGAGUAUGUGAGAGGAUAGUGGAAUUCGAGGUGUAGGAGUGAAAUCCGUAGAUAUCAGGAGGAACAUCAAUGGCGAAGGCAACUAUCUGGCACGUAACUGACACUGAGGAGCGAAAGCGUGGGUAGCAAACAGGAUUAGAUACCCUGGUAGUC